rnacentral:lncRNA from 1 species
GCCCUCUCCCGUGGAACGACUGCUUAGGUCCCCACAGUGGCCCGGGACGGGAAUGCCCUCUUGGUCGAGUGCAGUGGCUCACACCUGUGAUCCCAACACUUUGGGAGGCUGAGGCAGGAGGAUUGCUUGAGCCCAGAAGUUCAAGACCAGCCUGGACAACAUAUCAACAGGACACAGAAUGGUCUGCCUGGGCCUCAGUCACAUUGGAGGAGCAGAGAGAGAAGGAGCCAUGAGGAGUCACUCAAGGGUUUUAGGCAGAGCCGUGACACAACCAGAGAUACUACGAGCAAAGGUUCCGGAACAGGGCAGGGCAGGACAGACUGUGUUUCACUCUUACUGCCCAGGUUUGAGAGCAAUGGCGCGAUUUCGGCUCACAGCAACCUCCGCCUCCUGGGUUCAAGCUAUUCUCCUGCCUCAACAACCUCCUGAGGGCUGGGAUUACAGGUCCUCAGAGCCACCUCCAUCUUCCUCCUUGCAAUGAAUCCCACUCCACUCACACCACGGGUCCCGGCUACACUUCGCCAUCUUCUCUGUCUGCUGGCAAAAAUGACCUCAAGUAUUUCUUCCAUAUGUAGGUUUUCGUCCACGGUUCCAGGCUCAUAACUCCCACAGCCCUGUUUAGAGCCUUUGAUUAUGAUGUUGGCUGUGUUAGGCCUCAGGAGCAGGCCUUGGGGAAACAGAAUCUCUCUGGCCUUUUCCUGUCCUCCUUUCACCCGCCUAAGGCCGUACUCUAAUCUUCCUCCACCUUUCUGAUUGUGGGACCCUAAUUCCAGAGAGGGUCCUGCCCCAUACUCUGGGAGAAGGAAUGCUGUGGUUAUGAAUCUUCUAUAAAAACCCAAGAGGCCUGGUUCAGAGAGCUUCUCCAUAGCUGACCAUGUGAGGCUCCUAGAGUGUGGUGUGCCCACGGAGGGCAUGGAGCCUCCACACCCUUUCCCACUAUUUCUGCCCUACACAUCUCUUCAUCUGUAUCCUUUGCAAUAUCCUUCAUAAUAAACCAGUAAACAUAA